rnacentral:tRNA from 1 species
UGUCCAGGGAUGGGAAUCGAACCCACAGUGUUCCGCCCUUUGGGCAGAUGCCAUGUCUACUAGGCUAUAUAUAC